rnacentral:rRNA from 1 species
CUCUGCUUGCAGAGUGCGGAUGAGUGGCGAACGGGUGAGUAACACGUGGGAAAUCUGCCUAGGAGUGGGGGAUACCAUUCGGAAACGGAUGCUAAUACCGCAUAUCUUUUUGAACCGCAUGGUUCUUAAACGAAAGACGGCUUCGGCUGUCGCUCUUAGAUGAUCCCGCGGCGUAUUAGUUAGUUGGUGGGGUAAAGGCCUACCAAGACCAUGAUACGUAGCCGACCUGAGAGGGUGAUCGGCCACACUGGGACUGAGACACGGCCCAGACUCCUACGGGAGGCAGCAGUAGGGAAUCUUCCACAAUGGGUGAAAACCUGAUGGAGCAAUGCCGCGUGAAUGAAGAAGGUCUUCGGAUCGUAAAGUUCUGUUAUUAGAGAAGAACAAGUCAAGGAGUAACUGUCUUGACUUUGACGGUACCUAACCAGAAAGUCACGGCUAACUACGUGCCAGCAGCCGCGGUAAUACGUAGGUGACAAGCGUUGUCCGGAAUUAUUGGGCGUAAAGGGAGCGCAGGCGGUUGGAAUAGUCUGAUGUGAAAGCCCACGGCUUAACCGUGGAAGGUCAUUGGAAACUGUCCAACUUGAAUACAGAAGAGGUAAGUGGAAUUCCAAGUGUAGCGGUGAAAUGCGUAGGUAUUUGGAGGAACACCAGUGGCGAAGGCGACUUACUGGUCUGUAAUUGACGCUGAGGCUCGAAAGCGUGGGUAGCAAACAGGAUUAGAUACCCUGGUAGUCCACGCCGUAAACGAUGAGUGCUAAGUGUUAGGGGGUUUCCGCCCCUUAGUGCUGGAGUUAACGCAUUAA